UCCGUAGGCGGGCAAUUAAGUCAGAGGUGAAAUCCCACAGCUCAACUGUGGAACUGCCUUUGAUACUGGUUGUCUUGAGUUACAGUGAAGUAGAUAGAAUAUGUAGUGUAGCGGUGAAAUGCAUAGAUAUUACAUAGAAUACCGAUUGCGAAGGCAGUCUACCAACUGUAUACUGACGCUAAUGGACGAAAGCGUGGGGAGCGAACAGGAUUAGAUACCCUGGUAGUCC
rnacentral:rRNA from 1 species